AUGUUGAAAUAUUUUCAAUAUUGUUCAGACCCACAACAGGUUAAUAGUACCAACCGAAAAAGAUAAGCUGUCUUUUUGACAUUCCACAAUUAGCUUCCUCAGAAAAAAAAAUGUUCGUCUCUGGAUCAAAAUUUUCGGUAAACAGAGAUCUGAUGAAACUUGCUCCAUCAACACAGAUCGUUAAAGGUUGAUUCUGUCAGUGUCGUCUAUGUCUGAAGAAGAUCAGAAAAGUCAUAUCUCAAGACAAAAAAAAAUAUCUGGAGCUAAAGGAUACAGAAAGAUCGAUCUCUUCAGAAUAUGUUUCAUGUCACCCGAUGAGUUAUGCCGUUAAAUGCUUGUGGAUCAAUGAUCGGGAGAAAAUUUCUUACUCAAUACCUUCAACUUCUUGUUCUAAAGAUAAGUCUUCAAUUUUUCUCACAUUUCUAAAGUUGUAUGCUAUAAUAUAAUAUCCGUUCAUAUUCAAAUGUUGCGUUUUGAUCUAUGUUUGAUUUUGCUGAAUGGUUUGAAAAUUUGUAUCAAUACAUACUUGAGGACACAAGCUUUCGUAUACAUACUUGAGGACACAAGCUUUCGUACUUUAGUUGAUUUAUUAUUUAAUCAAAGUUUCGAGAUUGAAUAUAUUAGUGUUUGAUAAUUGGAUGUUUGAAUCUUUACUAAAUUACAAUAUAAUAAUGUUGGUAUCAAUAGCAAUUACCUUUUAUUUGUUGAUUAAAAGGAACCCUCUCAAAGCGUUAUGUGAACUUCAUGAUUUGUUUGUUUUUACUCACUGUAUUUUUGUCCGUUUAUUUUAAUGUUCCUAUGAUUGUAUUGAAUAUUGAUAUCUACAUUUAAGAUCUCUGUCAUGAACUAUUAUUGUUUAGUUUAUUAGAUUAUGAUAACCAGAAACGGUAAAAGGAUCUCCAAUCUUAAAAUUUCUAAUUGAUAUAUCAUUUGUUAUUCAGUACAUAGCUCUCAUUUAUUUUCAAUAUAGUUUGAUUAUUGUUCCAUGAACUUUAAUUCUCUGGUUUGUUUCAGGAGUAAAUGAAAAUGGUUACAAUCUAUACCAAACAAAGGUUCCUCUUAUUAUCAGGUAGGCUCUUCCGGCAAUCAAGUUUAUUUGCCAAGUUUUGAGCUAUGUUACGUGGAAACGGAAGCGGGUACGUGGAAGCGGAAGCGUAAGGAAGCGCAGAAGCGAGAUUUUUUAAAAUAUUAGGAAGCGGCGUGAUUCCAAAACGGAAUCAUAAGCUUCCAACAGGUUUUUAAAGAGAAUAUUUUAGAAACGUUUUGGAAGCGAGAUUCCGCAAGCUUCCACGAGGUUCCGAUUCUGAUUCCGGUUCCGAAGCGGGAAGCGGACGUCCGAUGAAGCUUCCGUGCAACUUUGCAGAAUCCAAUAAACGUUCAAGCUUGGUAUUGCUGGAACAUCAUUCUCAAUAUACAAAGAGAUGGUACAUCUAAUCUAUAAAAAAAGGAAAAUUAGUGUUGAUGCAAUUGAAGUUUGUUUAAAAUGUAGAUGUUACUUUGUUAUUUAAUGAUACGUUAUGUUUCAUUAGGAAGACAUUAUGUUACUUUUAAAAUAAAAGAAUUACGUAGCUGUAAUGUAGGUGUUUCUGUUUAAAUAAAAAGAAUUUCG